ensembl:lncRNA
GGACCUGCAGCAGCAGAGCAGCCAGCUGGCUGCAAUCUGAGCCUUCCCCCAGCAGCAGUAUCCGCUGUGCAGUUUGCCCAGCAUUGGAGGCAUGCAGGGGCCCUGCUUGGGGGGAAGGGGCCGGAGCUGCUGAGAAGCAAGAGGCCCCUGGAGCUGAAGCUGCCUGAUGCCCAGAGACUAGAUUUAUCCACACCAAGCAAAAAUCAGAGAGAAAAAGACGUUAUAUCUAUAGAAAGUAAUGAGGAGCAGCAGAACGGAGCAACGAGGCCACCAGAAGACCAUAAGCCUCAAUGGCUUUGGGGUAUUUAGCCUUUUUUAUGAGCAAGAAUACCACUUACAAAGGUUGCCUUGAUGUUCCCAGAUCCCUGGGGACAUUUCUUCACCUUUUUGAAAGUCAUUCUGUCUUCAGUUGCAUAUACGAUUUUAAAUAGGAUACUGCAGCUGUGCCAUGAAGAGACCACAUUAGAUAAAGCUUAACCAUUUAUAUAUCCAGGAUAAACAAGCCAAACGGAGAAGAAAGGAAAACCUUGUGGUUGAGCUACUGGGACUUGGGAGAUAAGGGUUCAGCUCCUCUGCACACUUCCAGUGUGACCGUGCGCAAGUCACGUUUAUGAAAUGGAGAUAAUAAUGCUUCUGUACCUCACAGCAGUGACUGAAGUUCUCUGAUUCUACAGUGAAGUGGGACAUUUAAUACAAGGAGAGAGAGGGCUGAACAGACCCUUCUCCCCAAUUCAAAGCUUCACAACUGUGCCUUAUUUCAAAGGCUUACUUUCUUCUAGUUUGGCUGGUUUUACAAAUAUCACAGCUUUGUGGGUGAACUGUUCUUUACUUGCUUUCUCAUAUAUGUUAAAUAUUGUGUAUCAUGUUGUAAGCCCAGUAGUCAGAGGUGACACCCUGACUGUUUUAUUUGCCAGUUGUCUGAAAAUCAUGUCCACAGUUAUAGUCACUUUCUCCAACAUGUGACGAACAAUAUAUUGUCAAGGAACUGUGUAGAUUUAGGGUAUAUCUGCACAGCACAAGCUGUGCAUGGGCUAGCCUUUGCAUGACUCCAGCUAGUGCAAGAAACAACAGUAGUAAAGACAAUGCAAUGUGGGCUUCAGCAUGAGUAUGUACGCUGUAGAAGUUACUCUGAAGAUGUUAUUUUCCAUUAGUUGCCACAUAUGAUGAUAUUUAAACAGGUUCUAAUGCUACCAUAACAGAGUUCUGUUGAAAGAUCUUCCAGGUUUUAAACACAGAUCCUGGAAGAAGUUAGGAGGAAGGAGAAUGCUUCAUCAAUAUAGAUGGACUCAUUUUUGUGCAGGGACCUGACCAGUUUCUUAUAAACCCUCUGGAAUUUUCCCAGUAUUCCCAAUGAAUUAAUAUGCCCUGGAUUGACAUCACAUAAAAUGCUGUGAGGUGUCUGAUCUUGGGGUACAUUUCCUUAUAAAAAGAGGAUAAAAUAACAGAAGUCAAGUGGAAUGCUUCAGAAUACAACAACAUGUAGCUAGUCAGAGACUGACCAAGCUUUGAGGUUCUGUGCCAGAGAUUGUAGACUUGGUUUGAUCAGUCAUGUGGUUAAAACACAGAGUAGAGCUUCUCCAUUUGGGUAGGUCAAAUCAGAUGUGUAACACUGAUGGUCUUAUGUGACUGGUGAAAAAGUUCUGUAAAAAUUACUAAGACAAAAAGGAAGGAUGCUGUCUUAAGAGCCAUUACAUAACUAAAGCACCAGACUCCUUUGUUAUAUGCAACCAAGGUUCUUAAACCAGAAACCCAUUUAAUAUUGGUUUCUUGAGCCAGUUUAACUAGGAGAGUGUCACAGGAUUCCCUACUCACCGCCAGGGCACCUUCUUAUGGCUGCAUCUGGGGAAUAGUUCCACCCAAACUGACACCUCCUCCUGUCUCUUGUUGGUGCUGUGGCCUCUUUCACACUCCAGGAGUUGGUCCUCUGGCAGGUAACUAUACUGUCUUCCCCUUCUGGGGUAACAGGGUCUCACUGAAUCAGCUUUCUGGGUGCCAUUCCAGGCAGUCUUCCAACUCAGGACUGUGCCACUUUCCCAAUGGCUGGUAAGGGAACCUGGGCCUGCCCACUAUUCUGGGCUCCAGCCCAGGGACCCUGCAAUCAGCAGCCAAUGUCUGCAUCGUCUCAACCCUUGCUGCUGCUUCCUUGGGCUUCUUCCUAAUCCACCCUCUGCAGGCUUUCUCCACCACCCCUCAGAGUAAACUCUCUCCCUCAGGGUGAGGAUCCCAGAGCUCGGGCGCUCCAGAGGUUUCCUCCUUCUCUCCUCACUAAGCGCAGAGAUUGACUGCAGACCUCUACACUACAGCACCUUCUGUUCUCAGUUCCUGGCUUUAUACAAGCCCCUACCUACUGCCUAGAUGGGCUCUAUCUUCAAUUAGUGCUUGUCAGUCAAGCCUAAAUCUUCCCCCAUGUGCAGCCUCUCAGGUUAAUUAGCCCUUUCUGAGCCACCUUAACCCCUCCAGGGGUGAUUUGGGAUGAACACCCCAUCACAGGCAGCCUUCACAAAUUCUGUAAAAGUGGAAAGGAAUUUAAAUAUUUGAUACUUCAUUGGAUCUUACAGAGUCCCAAAUUCCCAGUCAGCACACAUGUCCAGACUUUCAUACUUUAAAAUAUAUUAGUUUAGCUGAAGGUAUACCAGAGUUUCUUGUGAUGAGGAGGUUGAAGCUAGCCCAAGUGAUAACUACACGAGAGAGAUGUGAGUGACACUAAAAAUAAAUAAACGUCCAGGUAUUCUUAACUCA